GCAAACUUGGUCAUUUAGAGGAAGUAAAAGUCGUAACAAGGUUUCCGUAGGUGAACCUGCGGAAGGAUCAUUAAUGAGUGAUAGGUUCUUUUUUCAAGGCCUGACCUCCUAACCUAUGUUUAUCAUACCUCAAGUUUGUUGCUUUGGUUGAGUCACAUCAACCGACAGUAACCCACAAUUUAACUUCUUGUUAUAAUUAUGUCAUUGCCUGAAAAAUUUUAAUUCAUAAUUAAAAAAAAAACUUUCAACAACGGAUCUCUUGGUUCUGGCAUCGAUGAAGAACGCAGC
rnacentral:misc_RNA from 1 species